CUUGGCAUCUCAUAGCAUAUCCCCCAAGAAUGAAGACAUUCCCAGUGUUUCAAGAAUGGCAAACAGAGGAUAGGACUUCUGGGAACAGGCUAAAUGGGACACGAGCUCAUCUGAAGGCUUACAUCUUGCUCCUGCGGAGGGAAGAAGAGCAGCGUCCCUAGUUCUCAGGAUGGGACUUUGGAACUGACCUGGGAAUGACAGAGAAGGCAGGACUGGGGACACCCUCCCAGUUACUGUGGACCUUGUCCUCUGCCCUUCUCACUUGGGCCAGGCCAGAUGGAGUCAGGAAGAAAUGUUCUUGGUACUGAUCCUGUCGAGGAACCCUCACAGUGAUCCUGCUCUGCUCCUGGAAGUUGCAGAACCUGUUUAAACCUGGCUGAUUUCUGACCAGCACCUCUAAUGACUCAAUAAACCCUUUAUUUCAAAAAU